rnacentral:rRNA from 1 species
UACGUAGGUGACGAGCGUUAUCCGGAAUUACUGGGCGUAAAGCGCACGCAAGCGGUCUAACAAGUCUGGCGUGAAAUCCUCUGGCUUAACCAGGGGCGGUCGCUGGAGACUGUUAAACUUGAGGCGAUGAGAGGGGUGCAGAAUUCCCGGUGUAGUGGUGGAAUGCGUAGAUAUCGGGGGGAAUACCAGUGGCGAAAGCGGCACCCUGGCGUCGUACUGACGCUGAGGCGCGAAAGCCAGGGGAGCAAACGGG